GGUGGCUCAGUGGUAGAGUGCUUGCCUUGCAUGCAUGGAACCCUGGGUUCAAUUCCUCAGUACCA
rnacentral:tRNA from 1 species